rnacentral:rRNA from 1 species
GCCUACGGGGGGCAGCAGUGAGGAAUAUUGGUCAAUGGCCGGAAGGCUGAACCAGCCAAGCCGCGUGAAGGACGAAGGUGCCAAGCAUUGUAAACUUCUUUUGUCAAGGGACAAAAUCAGGCUCGAGAGCCUGACCGAGGGUACUUGAAGAAAAAGCAUCGGCUAACUCCGUGCCAGCAGCCGCGGUAAUACGGAGGAUGCGAGCGUUAUCCGGAUUUAUUGGGUUUAAAGGGUGCGUAGGCGGGCUGUUAAGUCAGCGGUAAAAGCCCGGGGCUCAACCACGGCGAGCCGUUGAAACUGGCUGU